rnacentral:rRNA from 1 species
UACGUAGGGUGCAAGCGUUAUCCGGAAUUAUUGGGCGUAAAGAGCUCGUAGGCGGUUUGUCGCGUCUGCUGUGAAAACCCGAGGCUCAACCUCGGGCCUGCAGUGGGUACGGGCAGACUAGAGUGCGGUAGGGGAGAUUGGAAUCCUGGUGUAGCGGUGGAAUGCGCAGAUAUCAGGAGGAACACCGGUGGCGAAGGCGGAUCUCUGGGCCUUACCUGACGCUGAGGCGCGAAAGCUAGGGGAGCGAACGGG